UCACUAUAUAUAUGCAAGGACUUAACCAAUCAAGUUUCAAAAAGAGUCAAUCUGGUUUUUAACGAUGAUGAAAACCAUUUCAGAAAUUACUCAAGUAGCAGUGGUCCGAUACUCCCAUCAGAAAUCAGAACGGUCAUGUUUCUUCUGCCCUUGAUAAUUUACACGUACGGCACAUUCGUACUCUCAAACUUUUCCCGGUAAAAUUCACACAGCACAUGCUGCUGCAUCGCGCGCACGCAGCUGAUCAUCAGCAACCGACGGCGGCGGACGGGCAAUAAACGGCCAGCUCACAGGCUGGGCACCCUCUCGGCGGCGCCGGAGAUGACGGUGAGCAGGUUGUUGCCGAAGGGGUCGCUGAGGUGCGCGCACAGGUUCUCGAAGGGGCCCUCGCCGGUGACGUAGGCCUGGAUGAAGAAGCCCAGCAUGGAGAACAUGGCCAGCCGCCCGUUCUUGAUCUCCUUCACCUUGAGCAGCGCCGCCUGGUCGGGGUCGGUGGCGAGGCCGAGCGGGUCGAAUGGGCCACCGGGGUGGAGCUUGUCGUCAAAUUCCUGCCGGAGAAGUUGACCAAACCGUUGGUCACUACAAGGACGCCUGGCUGCGGCAACGCAUAUCUAUGUUUCAGGAUACUGACCAGCCCGUUGGUGAUCCUGUAGUACUCGGCGCCUCCGACGAGGACGACCUCGGCGACGACGGCGAGGAUGAGGUUGAUGGGGAUGCUGUUGCCGAAGUAGUUGAGGGUGUUCCCGUCAAGGAGCAGGGCGCCGGUCUGCAGGAUGUAUGUUGUUUAUGGCACCGUGAGCUC
rnacentral:lncRNA from 1 species